rnacentral:lncRNA from 1 species
UGUGCUCAGAGAGAAAAUCAUUUAAGAACAACUGUUAUGGAGGCUGUACACAACAGUUCGAAGUUGGAUGAAGUCAGGAGUUGAGCAGAUUUCAACCGGCAGGCACUUCA